GCCUGUACAAUGCUACUCAGUAUGGCUGCGUGAUAGUACUUUUUAAAAUUUGUCAGACUUAUGCUGCCUUCACGUAUGGGUCUAUGUAUAACCCGUAACUCUAUGCAUGCUCUUUUCUCAUUCCACACGAACCGCGUCACGCAGCGCUGUAGCGUGCUAAAGUAAAUGUGGGGUAUUCUGGGUCCUGCACUGUUAAAAGUAUGUAAUCCGCGAAUGAUGUUAGUUUAGGUGACGAGACCAAUUUCGCCACAUUGCAUUGGAGAAGCCUGGUUGCUCGUCUGUUGCCUUUGGAUUAUGGCCCCAUUUUAAAAGGCUUGAUUUUCCCCUGCAAAGACAUGAAAGCCGGGUCAUUUGGUGCUUGCCCUGUUUGAGCGGUGAUACAUAUGCCAUGGAGCCCAUUCGUAUAAUGAAAGACUAUGGGAAAGACUUUGGCUCCAUGGCAAUUGAACUGUAUGUGUGUGCUCUGAGCGCCAUUCAGUAAUAAUGUGCGCUCAGAUCUGAGCUAUCUGGGGAUAUGUUGAAUGUACC